rnacentral:tRNA from 2 species
GGGUGAUUAGCUCAGCGGUAGAGCGCUUCGUUCACAUCGAAGAUGUCAGAAGUUCGAUCCUUCUAUCACCCA